UACGAAGGGGGCUAGCGUUGUUCGGAUUUACUGGGCGUAAAGGGUGCGUAGGCGGGUCUUUAAGUCAGGGGUGAAAUCCUGGAGCUCAACUCCAGAACUGCCUUUGAUACUGAAGAUCUUGAGUUCGGGAGAGGUGAGUGGAACUGCGAGUGUAGAGGUGAAAUUCGUAGAUAUUCGCAAGAACACCAGUGGCGAAGGCGGCUCACUGGCCCGAUACUGACGCUGAGGCACGAAAGCGUGGGGAGCAAACAGG
rnacentral:rRNA from 1 species